rnacentral:rRNA from 1 species
GGGUUGUAAACCUCUUUUCACAGGGAAGAAUAAUGACGGUACCUGGGGAAUAAGUCACGGCUAACUACGUGCCAGCAGCCGCGGUAAUACGUAGGUGGCUAGCGUUAUCCGGAUUUACUGGGCGUAAAGAGUGCGUAGGCGGUUCUUCAAGUCGGACGUGAAAUCUCCUGGCUUAACUGGGAGGGGUCGUUCGAUACUGUUGGACUUGAGGGCAGCAGAGGAAGGUGGAAUUCCCGGUGUAGUGGUGAAAUGCGUAGAUAUCGGGAGGAACACCAGUGGCGAAGGCGGCCUUCUGGGCUGUACCUGACGCUGAGGCACGAAAGCGCGGGGAGCGAACAGGAUCAGAUACCCUGGUAGUCCGCGCCGUAAACGAUGGAUACUAGGUAUAGGGAGUAUCGACCCUCUCUGUGCCGAAGCUAAC